UGGGGAAUUUUCCACAAUGGGCGAAAGCCUGAUGGAGCAAUACCGCGUGAGGGAUGAAGCAUCGUGGUGUGUAAACCUCUUUUCUUAACGAAGAAGUCCUGACGGUAGUUAAGGAAUAAGCACCGGCUAACUCCGUGCCAGCAGCCGCGGUAAUACGGGGGGUGCAAGCGUUGUCCGGAAUGAUUGGGCGUAAAGCAUCUGUAGGUGGUUUUUAAAGUCGACUGUUAAAGCCCAGGGCUCAACUUUGGAUAAGCGGUCGAGUACUUAAGGACUUGAGUUUGGUAGGGGUAGAGGGAAUUCCUAGUGGAGCGGUGAAAUGCACAGAGAUUAGGAAGAACACCGAUGGCGAAAGCACUCUACUGGGCCACAACUGACACUGAGAGAUGAAAGUCGGGGGAGCGAAAAGGAUUAGAUACCCUUGUAGUCCCGACCGUAAACGAUGGGUACUAAGUGCUGGCAAAACCAGUGCUGUAGCUAACGCGUUAAGUACCCCGCCUGGGGAGUAUGCUCGCAAGAGUG
rnacentral:rRNA from 1 species